rnacentral:rRNA from 1 species
GGCUCAGGAUGAACGCUGGCGGCGUGCUUAACACAUGCAAGUCGAACGGAGCGGUUUUGAUAGAGGAUUCGUCCAAUUGAUAAACUUGCUUAGUGGCGGACGGGUGAGUAACGCGUGAGGAACCUGCCUUGGAUGGGGAAUAACAGUUAGAAACGAACGUUAAUACCUCAUAACGUAACGAGAUCGCAUGAUAAUGUUACCAAAGAUUUAUCGCUGAUAGAUGGCCUCGCGUCUGAUUAGAUAGUUGGUGAGGUAACGGCUCACCAAGUCGACGAUCAGUAGCCGGACUGAGAGGUUGAACGGCCACAUUGGGACUGAGACACGGCCCAGACUCCUACAGGAGGCAGCAGUGGGGAAUAUUGCACAAUGGAGGAAACUCUGAUGCAGCGAUGCCGCGUGAGGGAAGAAGGUUUUCGGAUUGUAAACCUCUGUCUUCAGGGACGAUAAUGACGGUACCUGAGGAGGAAGCUCCGGCUAACUACGUG